rnacentral:rRNA from 1 species
UACAGAGGUCUCAAGCGUUGUUCGGAUUCAUUGGGCGUAAAGGGUGCGUAGGUGGCGCGCUAAGUCAGGUGUGAAAUUUCGGAGCUUAACUCCGAAACUGCAUUUGAUACUGGCGUGCUUGAGGACUGGAGAGGAGACUGGAAUUCACGGUGUAGCAGUGAAAUGCGUAGAGAUCAUGAGGAAGACCAGUGGCGAAGGCGGGUCUCUGGACAGUUCCUGACACUGAGGCACGAAGGCCAGGGGAGCAAACGGG